rnacentral:ncRNA from 1 species
AAAUGGGAACAGCGGCUUAAGCCAUUAGGUGUAGGCGCUUUCCAGAGGUGGAAGAUUUACGUUCUUCCUAUUUGACCCGAAAUCGAUCGAUCUAGCCAUGAGCAUGUUGAAGAGAGCUCUAACAGGCCUUGGAGGACCGAACCCACGUGUGUGGCAAAAUACGGGGAUGACUUGUGGCUAGGGGUGAAAGGCCAACCAAGAUCGUAUAUAGCUGG